rnacentral:rRNA from 1 species
UACGUAGGGACCAAGCGUUGUUCGGAUUUACUGGGCGUAAAGGGCGCGUAGGCGGCGUGUUAAGUCAGCUGUGAAAUCUCCAAGCUUAACUUGGAACGGUCAGCUGAUACUGAUGUGCUAGAGUGCAGAAGGGGCAAUCGGAAUUCUUGGUGUAGCGGUGUAAUGCGUAGAUAUCAAGAGGAACACCUGAGGUGAAGACGGGUUGCUGGGCUGACACUGACGCUGAGGCGCGGAAAGCUAGGGUAGCAAACGGG